GUUGGGGGGGGGGGAGAUGCCAUUGAACAAGGCGAUUGUUGGUGACCGCUGCGAGCAUAUUUCAACUAAAGCCCAGUUAGAUGGUCUUUUAGACUUCCCUGCCUGCGCCCAGCCCCGUAUCAGUGGACUACGCCGAGAGCACGAUGUAGCGUAACUACGAGGACCAUGGACUUCCCUACGCCGUGAGAGCUUACCGCCGUAGAGUUAGGCAGCCAAUGCUGCACCAACACCAAAGUGAUCGUGUUUCAAGGUUGGUAUAUAGGCAAUACUGGAGUGUAGAAGAGUUGAGGAGGAUAACUGUCAUGGCGGCGUGUUGAUUUUCCCUCCUACCCGAAUUUGAAGAAACUUCUUUGAACGACUUCGUGGUUGGAUUAUGUGUCGUAAAUAACGUGAAGUUUGAAUUUAAUAUAUUCUGAUUGUUCAUACACUUAUUGUAAUCGGAGAGCCUCUGCCGUUUGAAUUGAAUUGCACGGCAGUUAGGUUCGUGUCGCUCAAGGGCUUAGGGUGCGGGGCAUAUCUUUCUCUAAUUCUUGCAUUUAUUUUUGCAAUGUUCCGAUGUGUUGGCCGGCUCAAAUUAACGAUCAACUUUAAUCCGAACUACUGCUCCUCUGAAAGCUCGCCUGUGUCGAGUUACACUCCGCGAUUUGUGUCUGAUUUCUUUUCAUGUCAACAGGUGAGCAGAGAGUACGUGCUUUUGUCGUGGUGGAUGUUUGGUGUGGCGAUUUCGUGACGAGCUCUGUUAGACGUCGUUCCAGGGGUCUCUAGUAAAAAUCCGAGGUGAGUCCUUAACUUAUCGAAUUCGAACGCGGUUUCCUAUCAUGUUCUCACACAGAGUGAGGUUAUGCUAUUGCCUAGGGCCCUCUGCUGCUUCUCACAGCCUAACAUUGUCUAUUACUCCUUUAGAACACUCAAUGAAUCUCGAACGUUUCCUCCGUAGUAAAUUUUCAAAGAAUUUUGAUGAUUUUAAUCAUUUGGUUUUUCACGUCAACAGGUCCUGAGCUGAGGAUUGAUUCUUCGGGGGGAAACGGGGGAUGGUGAUUUCGCAGUGAACGUACAUGAUCUUUGAGACACCAGUCUGUGUUAUAAUCUCAUGAGGUUCCGUGGAGAUCGAGUCAGAUUAUUGAUGGAACAGCCUCGACCACCAGUAUUGCUUGUUACCCAUGGCAGAAUGAUCGUGCCCAGGUUACUGGGAUGGUUGUGAAAAUACGAUCCAUCUUUAUCUGCACACUGCAUCAUGCGAAACUUAUUCAUCUGCAUUCAAGCUGCAGCUCUUACCUUUCUGAGCCUGUUUUAGUGUUUAGAUUUACUUUCCACAAAAUAUGUUUUCUUUAAAAACCUUUACAACUAUGGUUAUGAGCUUGACUCCUUUAUAAUAGCUGCUUUAUGAAUUUGGUAAACUAUAAUAUGCAUGGAUCUUUAGGCUGUCAUUUCUGUUUAGAUUGUUUUUGCUCCGCUUUGCAUUAUCAUUUUAAAUUGUGCUUGUUGUGCUUUUGCCUUUUGCUUUGCCCGUUGAAUGCCUUAUGUUAUUUUGCUCCAUUUACCUUUUCGCUUGGCCUCGCUCAAAACUUUUAAUGCAUCGUUAUGAUAGCUGUGUUUGAUUUGCACGUGUGCUUUUGCAUCUGUGAAUGUGGCAUUGCUCUUUAUUUAGUUGAUUUAAUUUGAUUAUGGAAAGUAGGUAUUUGAAUGAGCUGGCUCAUCACCUUUGGUUGUGAAGUAAUAUUUAAAUGACUUUUUACCUAUACUACACUUGUUUGUUCAAAAUCUCCCAAUCAUUAAGUAUUGAUUAUAAUGUACUGUAAAAAUGUCUUUUUAGGCAAUGUUUUUGUUACUCUAUGCUAGUAUUCUCUUAGAUGUUUCUAUUAUCAAAGCAGACCUCUUUAGUGUUGUAAGUCCCCUCCUUUUUAAAAGUAGGAAAUUAUUUGUAACAUACGUGCUAUUGAUUUUUUCUGGUAUGUUCCAGUAUCUAUCCAAUGAUGGUUGGGUUAUAACAGUUCUAUUGAAAUUUGUCUUCCACGAAAGAUUUUAUAAAUUAGCCUUCUCCAUUUGUGUUGAAGCUGCUUCUCUAGCAUUGUGGAGUUUGUUUCAUCAUUAUGUCUGUGAUGAUGAUGGGGCCAAACAGAUUUCUGUUCAUGGGUGCUCUCAAAUGUGCUCAGAUGUAUAUAUUUUUCACAUUCCCUUCACAAUUUGCAUGUGCCUAUAUUUUUGAAGCUUCUGUAGUUGUGAGAUGCACUUUAUAGAUUUUGCUGGGUCAGUUUUAGUGUUUCUUUGCCUUUCAACUCCUGUAAUGCAUUAGUAGUAGUACUUUCUUUAGAUGCAAGUUACAUGCUGCUGCUUCUUCGCCAUAUUGUUGCAUGUAACCAUAGCUUCUGAUCUUGAUGUCUCUUUGCUGCUGAUGUUUUUGUUCUGAAUGCCUUAGGAUUAUUUUAUUGUAUAGCUCAAGUACAGAAUUAAUUUGUUUUAUCUAGGUGUUUGUUGCUUACCUGACAAUUGUGUAGGGAAAUAACUAAGCUUUCUUAAAUAUGAUUCUUGUUUCAAAUGUUAUUAUUAUGUGCUGGCCUAAUUCUAUCCAUUAGUAUUUAAGUAAGUAUUAUUAUCUAUCAAGUUCUAAAUUAUGUCUUGUUAAAAUGGUUUUGUAAUUUGUGUAUGUGAUCGAUGUCUUAGUUUUGCACAUGACCACAUUAUGUUUCAAAGAGUUGUGUCCCCCUGUUGGCCUUUCUUUCUUCGUAUGUUGAUUUCUCGUUACUUCGCCUUCUUCCUGCUUCUUCCUGCUGUGAAAGUUUCGUGCUUUGUUCUAUGACCUCUUGAUGCAAGAGUGUUUUUUGUUUUUUAUUUUACCAAUGCUUUUGUUUGCUGUGGAUUAUUAAUUGCUUUGUGCAUCUAUUUUUCCAUGCUUUUGUAUUAUCUCGCAAAUGCGACUUUUGCCUUUUCUUUCUUGAUCUCUAAUCUGUUGCUAUCUUGCAUAGCAAAAGAAGUGUAUCCUUUGCACAAAAUUCCUGCUGUAUGUCUGUGUAUGCCAUCUUCUUACUCCCCUUCACUGCAUGCAAAGUGACUUUUCCUUGAAGCAGUCCCAUUGUCUUACGUUCCGUUUCAAAAAAAAGUGUUUACUUGUCAGUGCCAAUUGCACGCAUUGUUUGAGAAACUAUUAAAUAAAACUUCCAACCUUUACAGUUUAAAACGAUUUGUAUUUCCAUCGACACCAACAUAUAUAAGAUGGGGAUGCAAAAACACAUACAACUUCUGUAAAUUACAAAAUUUUUACAGGAACAUUGUCUUCAUAAUGAUAUAAAGUAUGAGAAGGAGUAAUGCGACAUUACUAAUCAUACGUGUGUCUUGAUUUGUAAAACAAAUAUAAAAACAAAACUUUGUAAAAGAAAAA